AUCGAAGAGUACAGUCCCAUCCUUGUCCUUCAAAGUUAUAUAAUGUGUUUCCUUGUGUAUCUGACAAUAACUCACAUCAUGCUCAACGUCCCUGGAUGAAACUGUCUUUGGCAAAACGUAACAGUGUCAAUCUAAGUCCUGGACUGACUGCCAAACAGGACACUCUGACAAGUAAACAAGCUUCCAAAAUGAACCACACUUUAUAUUGCAUUCGAUCCACAAAAGGAAACAGAUGGAAGGUGUUUUAGUUGAUAUCCUCUGUAACAGCUGAAAUACGGAUCAUUUCUCAAGAAGCUGGAAACCGAGACAUAGAAAAAUGAAGAUUCUUCUGUUAACCGCUGUCAUCAGCUUUGCUUGCACAGAAGAGCUUUUAGAAAAAUAUCAAACCCUCUACUUAGCAGCUGAUGAUUUAAAAUUAAUAGAG